rnacentral:rRNA from 1 species
UGUCGAUGAAGAGCGCAGCCAACUGUGUGAAUUAAUGUGAACUGCAUACUGCUUUGAACAUCGACAUCUUGAACGCAUAUUGCGGCCAUGGGUUAGCCUGUGGCCACGCCCGUCCGAGGGUCG